CGCCAGCCCGCGCGGCUCGCCUCCUUCGCCGCCCCCGCCCCUCCCGCGUCUCUCCCUAGGCUGGCGGCGGGGCUGGAGCUGGGCUUUUAUCUCCCGGCUGGCGCUGGUCGGAGCCAGAUCCCGUAGUCCUCUGAGACGUCAGGCUGCAGCCUUCGUUCCGCUCCGCAUCCUCAGCCCGCGCUCGCGCCUCCCGUUGGAGCACCGUCUCACCUGUCCGCACCCUGCCUCCCACCGGGCGAGAAGUCGCUGGGGGGUCCAACCCCGACUGUCCAGCUCUCAGCCCUCCGUUCUCCUCUCAAGGAAGGGGCAGCGGAUGAAGUGAGACGAUGGUUAUCCGAGUGUUCAUCGCCUCCUCCUCAGGCUUUGUGGCGGAUUAUGACAGCUUUUUUGAAUCAAAGGAAAGCAAUACCGUCUUUUCAUUCUUAGGCCUGAAAGCAAGAUUGCCAUCAAAGGCAGAGCCCUAAGAGUGGAAAGGAAACUAUGAAGACAGAAGUACAUUUGGAAGAGCAAGUGAGGUGUUCAGCAAACAGCCGCUUACCUAAUAGAUCACUGUGAUAAAAGCUACUUGCAACAUCAGCACUUUGCUUGCCACUGAAGAAAUGCUUUCCAAAGAUGUGGGACCACUGGGCAUUACAAAAAUCUAUAAAUCAAAUUGGUCAUAUGGUGGAUUGUUCCUUAUUUUCUGAUUUACCUACAGUUGAUGAGCUGUCUUUGGGGAGUCUUUUACUGGGUACUCAUAGUCUUGCUUUAUAGUUUCAAAGUUAAGUGGAUGGUAGUCACUAGAUGAUAAUUGUAGUAUCCCUAUGCUAUUGCAGUAUAUACCCAUGUUAGUUAGACAUGCUUUCCUUUAAGCUAAUGCUGCCCAGAUCAUGUUCUUGAAAUUAGUUUAUUAGGAAUUUGCAUGUCUUGAGCCAGAAAAGGGGGCAGGGGAAAGUGAUGCUUAGAACAAGCAGGGUGAUGAAGAAAAAUGUCUCAUAACUAGGAAUGAUGAUAUUUCUGCUAUUUGUAAAUACCACAUAAAUAUAACUUGAUGUUACAGCCUACUUACUAUUAUAGGAGCUCUUCAAACAUAAGUGAAACAUAUAAGUGACUUGAAUUGAGGAAAAUCUUCCUAGAGUAUUGAAAACUCUAAUGAUAUUUUGGAAAGUAUCUGGGUUUGUUUGUUUUUUUCUUUCUCCUUAGAAAAAUUUUCCACUUAAAUGCCAUAAGAUGCUUGACAGAGAUAUUUUAAAUUGUGAAGGCCAUGCACUAAUUUAAUCAAAACUUAAUAAGAAAAUGUUUGAGUUACAUCUGAAAGUUUUGUGACUACAGAGAUAUAUUAUAUGUAUGUAUGUGCAUAUAUGUAUAUAUACACACAUAUAUAUCUAUAUGUAUAUCCCACACAUAUAUAUUUUUAGUGUACCCCUUCCCAAUAGCUACUUAUUGUUUCUUGUAAAAGGAUUAUAUUUUUUGAAAAGGGAGCUCUUGGCUAGAUAUAUUUUGUGUACCCACUGAUGAGUAAUAUUAAAUGAUACUAAUACCUCUGCAUAAGUGAAUAUUUCUUUCUAUGUAACCUUUCCUUUAACCUUGCUUCUCCUGGGCCCUAUGCUAACUUUAAUCUUUUAAAAAUUUAAACAUUUCAACUUAAUGCAGAUAAAUACAGUUUUCCUACUAAUCCUGCCUUCAAGGAUAAAUUUGCAGACUAUGCAUUUGCAACAGAAUUACUUUAUGGCAUACAGUAUCCUUUCCCUCCCACUAUAACUAUAAACUUUGUUAGGUGAUUCUCCCAUUUAGACAGAUGUGCUUUUCUGCAUCUUAAGUGUUCUUAGUGUAAACAAUUUGUAUUUUUAUAGUAUGUGAUAGCUAAAUAUGGGACUUUGGUAUGUUCUUUGCAUAAGACAUCUCAGAGCACCCUUGAAAAACUCCUUGAUCUGCAUACAGACACACACAUAUACACAUACUCACAUCUACAUGUACAACAAUAUCUGAGCUAUUAGGCCCAGAGAACUAACACAGAAUUUCAGCAGUUUAUAUAAAAUUGAAAGAACAGCUGAAAUGUCCACAAAUCUAUUUACCUGAACAAUUUAUUCAAUGGGGAAGCAUUUCAUUGUGAAAAUUAAAACAAAAACUCAGACCAGAUAUUUGUAGUCCAACACUUUAACCAAAAAAAA
ensembl:lncRNA